AUCCUUACUUGUCUUCGCAUUUAAUAAUAUUUGCGGAUUAUGGUUGUGUUUUGUGCCACUAAAAGACCCAAAAGUAAUUGAAGACGGAAACACGUUAUCUGAAAUCUCGUUUCCCCUUUCACGCGCUUCUCGAUCCCUCCAUACCUAAUUUGAUUGCCCUUCACAAGCUCUUUAUAUUCAAAAGCCCCACCCCACCAUCGUUGGACUCCGACAUCAAGUUGCAGAACUUCGGUAUUCCAAACUCCAUUGUUGAAAUUCGAUUAUGAUUUUGUUUUUGAUUGCGAUAAUUUGAUUGCCAUUCACAAGUUCCUCAGAGUCGAGAGCCUCAUGGCCAUAGGACUCGGGCUACAAGUUCCUGAACAUCACAUAUCAAAAUUAGGUUUCAAACAUCGCAUAUUCUAAAUUCUGAAACUUCGUUGUCGAAAUUCCAGGUGUGGAUAGAGUAUGCUUGAAGUCUCUUGAUAACUAAAUGUCUACAUGAAGUGGUGCACUUACCUAAACAUCCUACUAAUGUGGAACAAGUAUGACAUUUCUACCCCUAUGAUCUUUUUAGGGUUAGCUACAACAUAAAUCCCUUAGAUUUUUCUCCUUUUUCUUUUUCAAUUUAGAUACUAGUAAAGAAAAGAAGAUACUUUGUUUUUGUCUUUUUGUAUUUUCUUAUAUGGGGUGAAGCAGGGGAAACAACAUAAAACAGAGGGAAAAAAAUAUUGCUGUCAAAGGUAACUUUACUAAAUAAAAGUGUUUAUGAAUAAAUUAAAUAUAACAUAUGAUCCAUUAUUUAUAAUAAGACUAAAAGACUUUAUAUCAAACACAAAACCUAGGAAGCAAAUAAAAGUGUUUCUAAAUUUACCAAUAGUUUAUUCUAUAAAAUUGCAUGGGAAUCCCAAGCUUGGUAAAGGAAAAUCCAAAAAUCAAAUUUGUGAUUGUUUUCACUUGUGGAAAUGCUUUUCAUACAAUUGAAAUGAAUCAAGAUAAUUAAUUAUGAGGAAACUUUAAAGUUGAGGAAUCUUCAACAAGAAUUCCAUGCAUAUCAUAUGGUACCAUUAUUGGUGUCAGGGAGCAUGUUUUUACAGAAAGGUAUAAAUAUUAAAUAAAAAUAAUAAUGUACAAUCAUGAAACUACUUUUGAACCAUUUAUGCAGUGUUUCUUCUUUGGCAUCCUUAUUGUCCAAUCAUGAAACUAGUUUUGUAACUCUUUGACAACGUGUUCUUGCAAGUCCUCUAAAGUAAGCAAAAUUAUUUAAACCUUUUUUGUUCUUUAUCCUAGGGUUAAUUUUGGUAUUUUGGUAAUUUUUUUUGAAAUAUUUUCAGGGUUCGCAUGCAUGAUGGAUAUCCCGAUGCUUUUGAUAGAGUGGUCCAUAUAACUCAAGGUUCUUAGUAUGGAUAUAUACAAACUUGGUCAACACUUUGACUUAUUCCGGAUCAAUUCCUUUUACUUUACAAUAGUUGGAUUUUACUUUUGCACCAUGGUAGUAUGUUACCAAUGAUCACCAUGUACAUAUUUUUUUUAUUGAAAAAUGUAUUUGAUUAGGUCUUUGAGUUUUGUCCACAAAAACUUUGAGAGGUUCCUUAAAGCAUUCAUGGAUAAUCUCCACAUUCCUCUUUCUAAUAGGAAUUCUCUUAAGGUAAUUAAUCAGUUUCUUAUAAAAGAGAAGUUUGAUGAUGCUAGAUAUUAACCCUUCUAGAUUUAGAUUGUAAAGAAUCUUAGAAAAGAAGAUUAUGUUAGUAAUUUGUGAGUUUUUUUACUUAUAUUACAUGACUCUUAUUAGAUGAAAUAUUACAUAUUUACCAUCAUAUUUUGAUGUAUUUUGUUAUUUUCUAUGUAUUAACGAUUUAAUUGUCCA